CAGCUGGAUGCAUCUCCCAGCCCACCCAUGGGAUUCCAGACAUGUCUACGUGACCAUCACAACCCUACCAGCGUCGAAGGAGUAACCAAGGUGACCCUUCUGUGCACCCUUGGGAUAACAGAGACCAGCCCCAUGCUAUGAAAUCCAUUGGUGUGGAAACCUCCUGACUCUCAGAGAGUAGAGCAAGGUCCUGGGACAGAGGAGAGAGGAGGGGAUUUCCGAAUCUUCCUGAACAUUCGUGACCGCCCUGGGGAAGCAGCCUUGCAGGUCCGGACCCGUGCCUUGAGGCUCAGGUGCCCAUUGCAAACUCUGAACACCCACCGAGGGGCCCCCUGACUCUCCUGGCACAGGUCUGCCGGUUGAUGAAGAUAGCUUAGCUGUCACCACAGGCAAAAUCGAGAGAUGAUUCUGGGUCGGGAUUAGCAGGAUGGGAUCUACCUGGGAAAGUGGCUGGGAGCUGGGCCGGGGCUGCCCACCUGUUGGCUAGGAGCUGCCAGAUCUUCACACGAGAACAUGAUUUAUCACCGUCUCAGCAAGGGAGUGAGUUCCCCGUCCUGGGAGGAGGCUCAGCCUGGCCUGGUCAUCUCUUUGGAGCCCGGGUGACUCGGGACUCUGGCCACGGUGACAUAGGGAGCAGCCUUUGGUGGUUUCCUGGAACUCUGGGAAGACCUCAUCUUUCCCAACUGCUAAGACGGAGCCUCCCGUGGAUAAAGGACCCUCCCGGUUGGCGCUCGGCUGAGGACAUGCCCUGGCUCUGGAGGAGAGCUUGGGGGUGGGUGUGAGGGAGGCUGGGAGCCCCCUGCCCCUCCGUGUCCACCUGGACCCCGCCUGUUGGACCUUACCGUCUGCACCUGGAGGCCAUUUCUUGACUUGGUGCCGACUUGGUCCCCCUUUGCAGCCCUGCUUGUGGCCAGUCCGUGUUCACCUGGGCCA
rnacentral:lncRNA from 12 species